rnacentral:rRNA from 1 species
UACGAAGGGGGCUAGCGUUGUUCGGAUUUACUGGGCGUAAAGCGCACGUAGGCGGAUCGAUCAGUCAGGGGUGAAAUCCCAGAGCUCAACUCUGGAACUGCCUUUGAUACUGAAGAUCUUGAGUUCGGGAGAGGUGAGUGGAACUGCGAGUGUAGAGGUGAAAUUCGUAGAUAUUCGCAAGAACACCAGUGGCGAAGGCGGCUCACUGGCCAGAUACUGACGCUGAGGCACGAAAGCGUGGGGAGCAAACAGG